UUCCUACGGGAGGCAGCAGUAGGGAAUCUUCCACAAUGGACGAAAGUCUGAUGGAGCAACGCCGCGUGAGUGAAGAAGGGUUCCGGCUCGUAAAGCUCUUUUGGUAGGGAAGAAAGAUAGAGGUAGGAACUGGCCUUUAUUUGACGGGAAUUAAUUAGAAAGUCACGGCUAACCACGUGCCAGCAACCGGGGUAAUACGUAGGUGGCAAACGUUGUCCGGAUUUAUUGGGCGUAAAGCGAAUGCAGGCGGAUCAAUAAAGC
rnacentral:rRNA from 1 species